GUAGUCUCGCACAGAUGCAUAUCAAUAAGCGGAGGAAAAGAAACUAACAAGGAUUCCCCUAGUAACGGCGAGUGAAGCGGGAAGAGCUCAAAUUUGAAAUCUUAAAGGGUUUCCCUUUACGAAUUGUAGUUUAAAGAAGUGUUUUCCUGUUGAGGUUUUGGUAAAAGUUCUUUGGAAUAGGACAUCAUAGAGGGUGAGAAUCCCGUAUUUGACCUUUACUUUCAACUUUGUGAUACACUUUCAAAGAGUCGGAUUGUUUGGGAAUGCAGUCCAAAAUGGGUGGUAAAUUUCAUCUAAAGCUAAAUAUUGGCGAGAGACCGAUAGCGAACAAGUACCGUGAGGGAAAGAUGAGAAAGAACUUUGAAAAGAGAGUUAAACAGUACGUGAAAUUGUCAAAAGGGAAGCGUUUGACACCAGUGUUGUUUUUCUGAAAAUCAAUUAAAGAACUGUUUAUGCUAAGCUGUUUAGACUUUAUCAGCUAUACUGUUUAGUUUUGAGCUUUUCUUUAAUGCACUUUUCAGUUAACAAGUCAACAUCAAUUUCUUUUGCUGUAAAAAAGCUUGAGGAAGGUGGCUUGAGAUUCGUCUUAAGUGUUUAUAGCCUCUUGCCUAUGCAGUCGGAGAGAUUGAGGUCUGCAGCGUAGAUCCUUCGGGGCUAAAUGCAUUUGUGCUAAGUUAUAGCAUUUUAUAGACAACUUGUUGACUAUGAUUUGUCUUGUAGCUUACUCGCUUAUGUUAUUUUACCUACGCUUAGGAUGUUGAUCUGUAGUGCGUGCGC
rnacentral:rRNA from 1 species